CUGUCAUGCUAAUGUGGAAAUGGAAAUUUGCUUCAUUUUUUUUCUAGUAAUAAACAGAAUGAGAACUGAACACAGUCUUGGGGGCAACAACUGGACAAAUGUGUAGGACAUCCCACCCAGCAAUCCCAAAUCAGACUAUGUUCUGUGUCAGGACACAGGUGUUGUGGAGAUGGAGCUGCCAGGAUGAUGGGGAAAGGAUGAGAGCUACCUGCUGAACUAAGGACACAGACACAUAGGGACUUCUGCACAGUCCCUACAGUAAGAGGGGAGACUGCUCAUGGGCUUUACAUUCGUGUCUGUCUUUACUGAAGUCACUCAUAAGGAUUCUGCAGGAGAAGAGCAGUACAGAGAGUUCCAGUCACAUCUUAAAGUCCUUCUACUACUGUUAUCAGGGAAGUUUUGCUUGAGAAAGGACUAUGGGAUGCAAG